rnacentral:rRNA from 1 species
UCUGGUCUUGGGACACUGUCAGGUGGGCAGUUUGACUGGGGCGGUCGCCUCCCAAAAGGUAACGGAGGCGCUCAAAGGUUCUCUCAGUACGGUCGGAAAUCGUACGUAGAGUGUAAAGGCAAAAGAGAGCUUGAUUGCAAGACAUACAGGUCGAGCAAGGAUGAAAAUCGGACUUAGUGAUCCGGUGGUUCUGCGUGGAAGGGCCAUCGCUCAACGGAUAAAAGCUACCCUGGGGAUAACAGGCUUAUCUCCCCCAAGAGUCCACAUCGACGGGGAGGUUUGGCACCUCGAUGUCGGCUCAUCACAUCCUGGGGCUGUAGUAGGUCCCAAGGGUUGGGCUGUUCGCCCAUUAAAGUGGUACGCGAGCUGGGUUCAGAACGUCGUGAGACAGUUCGGUCCCUAUCCGUCGCAGGCGUAGGAAAUUUGAGAAGACCGGUCCUUAGUACGAGAGGACCGGGAUGGACGUACCUCUGGUGUACCAGUUGU